CCUGCCCUUAGAAGCAUUGCAGGUGUGGCUGCUGUGUCACAUGUGUGUCAGUAGGUGACAAAGAGGAGAGAGGCUAUGUCUACACUCAGUAUUCUGACCCAGGGACAUCUGAAUGAUUCAUGGCCUAAUAUU
ensembl:snoRNA LOC120098376 small nucleolar RNA SNORA17